ensembl:lncRNA
CCAGGAUUUACCCCUUCCCAGACCUCAUUUAAAAGUUAGCAGUGGAGGUAAGGGCAGCUCUUGCUGGAGAUCCCUGCUUACCUGAGGCCUUCCAAAGAUUCCUUUGUUUCAGGAACAAGAAAAUGACUUGAUACUCAUCUUCAAGGUUGCAUGCACUGGGACAAUGACAUAUCUAAUCAGCACUCAGAGGUUUUCCUGCAGAUGAUCACCUAGUGACAUUUGUGCCGUACUUCAGUGGUGAGAAAAGAAGACGGUGAGUUUGCAGCUGCCAGGAUGACAGACUGUAUAGCAGUGGAAACCUGAGAAGUGAACUAAGACAACAUGUGGUGUCCAAACAUGCUACAAGGGAGCAGAACUGGUAUCUGUAUCUGACUGAAAGGACCUUCUAGUCUCCAAUUUCCUAAUUAAACAGGAUGUACAAUCGCAGGAUGAAAGAAAAACUCUGAUUAUCUCAGACCACGUCAAGCCAAGCCAUUUUUCCAGUGAAACUACGAUGGUGAGGGUUAAGGAACACAACUGGUGUAAAAUGGUGUCAGUCAAUGGUGUUCUGUCUCUACCAGACAACAUUAUUUCUCAAUUACCACACAGUCUCACAGCUGAAUAUUUCAUUUUCUGAAUCACACAUUGCUACUAUUUGAAAAGAAAAAUCUUCUGGGACUUUUACAUCCUACUUAGAAAGAAUAUAUUAAAAUAGUCUGAAACAUGCAACAGAUCAAUGUUCAUCAUAGUAUUAUAUGGGCAUAUGGAGGAAGGAGAGGGUAAAGGAAGGAAGAAAAAUGCAUGGAUCAAGCUGAUGUACAGUCCUGCAAGUUCUUUGCAGCAUGUCAGGGCAAGUUGUCUGGGAUACAGUUUCCUUCUAGCGGCCCUCUUUCCUGAGGGCUCAGUGGGUGUAGGUCACAAUAUGCACAAAAUGAUUCAAAAACAGGCAGCUUAGACUGCACAUAACUGCCUCCUUUUGAAGGAUCCCUCCAGAAUUGUCAGUGAUUUAUUCCAAAUUUCCAGGAAUCAUCUGAUCUACUGCAUAGGCAGAGAGCUGUGUUACAUACAUGACUGCUUUUUCUGGUCAGGAGCUGGAAAGUAGACCUCACUCUUAUAACUAGAAAAAAACAACACUGUCCAGUGACAAGAAAAAUUGGUCAUCUGUGUCUCAAGCAAACAUGGGUGUGAGUCAAAAUCUUCUGAAUUGGAAAAGGUACCAUUUUUUUCCCAUAAUUUGUCAAAAUUAGGCAACUCCUAACCACAUCGGUACUAGGAACUCCUAGCAAGGAUACAUCAAGACAGACAAGGAAAUCUCACAACAUUUCCCUUUGCAAGAAGGGAAAGACAGAAUAAAAGUGUUGGUUUUUAAUUUUUAUGUAUUUAUUUAUUUAUUUUGAGGAGGUCCUCUCAUUCCCAUGCUUCCCAAUCCCCUCAGUCCCUUCGACCCAGAGGCACACCACCUUACAAGCUAAAUUAUUUGGAUACAGACAGCAGUUCUUAUGGUAAUGAAAUGCCAGCACACCUUUCAGGGCAAGAAAUGAUGGCAGUGCAGCAACAGUAGAGGGAACUGUAAUGUCUUAAAUGUGUACAGAACCAGGAGGCAGACUGCUGAUACACGCACACAUUGCUCUGCAUAGGCUCCCUUCAGGCAAAGCCAAAGGAGCUGUGAUUAUGGAACCACAUUUGCCAACAAAACCUACUGUAUUUUUUAGUACCAGAUGCACUCUUCUGAUUAUCUGGACAAGAAUAAAC